rnacentral:lncRNA from 1 species
GCCAGGAUUCAGUAUGAACACGGAUUUGGACAUAUAAAGGCCAUUUAUUUGCAGUGUUUACCGUGAAUGUGAUGAAUGCGGGAACAUUGCCUUUCAAACGUACAUUGCGGACAAAGCGUGAUUGGAUUGAGUCCCAGCCUAAGUCCCUCCAAUAAUGCUGUAAUGUCCACAAUCGAGGUAUGGGAUUUAUUUGUUAUAACGUACUGACUGUCCCCAGGAUGUCUGUCCCUAGGCUGUCUGUCCCCAGGCUGUCUGUUCCCAGGCUGUCUGUUUCUAGACUGUCUGUUUCCAGGCUGUCUGUCCCCAGGCUGUCUGUUUCCAGGCUGUCUGUCCCCAGGCUGUCUGUUUCCAGGCUGUCUGUCCCCAGGCUGUCUGUUUCCAGGCUGUCUGUCCCCAGGCUGUCUGUUUCCAGGCUGUCUGUCCCCAGUCUGUCUGUUUCCAGGCUGUCUGUCCCCAGGGAGCUGAGGGAGGUCAGACCCUCUGUUUGACCUGGAUGUGACCCUCAGGUCAUGACCUUUGCUUCCGGGACACACCUCUCCCUUCUUACUGUUUCCAUAUCAUCUCAGCAUUCCCCCAUCCUAGCACCAGCAGGAGGGUUAAAUGAGUGAAACAGUGCAUCUGGAUAAUACACAGCCAGGGCCUGCGUAGGGUGGGAGUGUUUGCCAUUUCUCUGUGUAGGUGAGGUGUGUAUGUCUCUGUGUGGGGAGGUGUGUAUUUCUCUGUUUAGGUGAGGUGUGUAUGUCUCUGUGUGGGGGAGGUGUGUAUGUCUCUGUGUGGGGGAGGUGUGUAUUUCUCUGUGUGGGGGAGGUGUGUAUUUCUCUGUGUGGGGGAGGUGUGUUUUUCUCUGUUUAGGGGAGGUGUGUUUUUCUCUGUGUGGGGAGGCGCCUGACAUUGAGGGUUAAACUCAUUCUGUUUCUCAAUGCCAUUCUCAUUCUUUACUCACUCAUUUUUUUUCCACUUUCAACUGGCCUCUCAGUUAGCCAUCUGCUACAAUUCCCUCAUGCUGAAUUAGUGGAGGCUCCUCUGAGUAGGCAGGGGAAGACCAUCCUCCUCAGUGAAUUUCAUAAAAAAUUAAAAU